rnacentral:rRNA from 1 species
CACGUAGGGUGCGAGCGUUGUCCGGAAUUAUUGGGCGUAAAGAGCUCGUAGGCGGUGUGUCGCGUCGGCCGUGAAAACCUGGGGCUUAACUCUGGGCUUGCGGUCGAUACGGGCAUCACUUGAGUUCGGCAGGGGAGACUGGAAUUCCUGGUGUAGCGGUGAAAUGCGCAGAUAUCAGGAGGAACACCGGUGGCGAAGGCGGGUCUCUGGGCCGAUACUGACGCUGAGGAGCGAAAGCGUGGGGAGCGAACAGG